GACGAACGCUGGCGGCGUGCUUAAUACAUGCAAGUCGAGCGGUGAACCUGACUGAAAGCCUUCGGGCUUGACGUUGGGGGAUCAGCGGCGGAUGGGUGAGUAACGCGUGGGUACCUGCCCUAAAGUCUGGGAUAACAACUCGAAAGGGUUGCUAAUACCGGAUGUGACCGAGAGGUUAAAGGCAGAGAUGUCGCUUUAGGAUGGGCCCGCGUCCCAUUAGCUAGUUGGUGAGGUAAGGGCUCACCAAGGCUGCGAUGGGUAGCCGGCCUGAGAGGGUGGACGGCCACACUGGAACUGAGACACGGUCCAGACUCCUACGGGAGGCAGCAGUGGGGGAUAUUGCACAAUGGAGGAAACUCUGAUGCAGCGACGCCGCGUGAGUGAAGAAGGCCUUCGGGUCGUAAGACUCUGUCCUAGGGGAAGAGUAAUGACGGUACCCGUAGGAGGAAGCCCCGGCCGUAACUACGUGCCAGCAGCCGCGGUAAUGAGUAGUACGA
rnacentral:rRNA from 1 species